AGGGCGUGGCGGUGUCGCCACGUGGGCUGAAGCUGCUGCCCUGCGCGGGGCCGGUCCGUCGGUCCGUGCUCUCGUUCUGAUGGCGGUUUGUCGUUCCGAGCUCAUCUGUGGGUGUUUAACCCGCUGGCUGUGCAGGAGUGAUUUUUCUCAGGACUCGCACCGUGGCGUGGAGCGCCAGCAGCAGAGGGGCUCUGGCGGUCUCUGUCCGUGCCCGGUCGGCUGCUCCUCUCCCUUCUCUGCUCAUCUUAGGGUUUCUUUAACGGCUCUGUUUGUGGUCACAUCCCUGUGCUGCUCUUCUCAGCGCGGGUGUGCGCUUUCCUUUGAUUUGAGCUUGUUUUCUGGUCUCCAUCAGCUCUGCAGGCACCUCGUGUCGGUGCGCGCUGUGUCUGCUGGGACGUCGAUCCGCAGGGAGGGGAGCACAAAAAAUCCGCGUCCCGUUAAGCGGGGCAGAGCAGCAGCAGCAGCUGAAGGCUCUGAAGUUCACAGGCUGCUGUCUGCACGUGGAGGUGUUGCGUUGUUUCACCACGUGGCCUCGGUUCUGCAGGACAAAUCCAUCAUUGGAGAGGUCUGGGCAUCCCUGCUAUGUCCCAUUGGUGUCAGCAUUGGUGGAAGGAAGAGAACCAGUCCCUGCUGUGAUGCUGGGGUGCCCUAUGCUGAAUUCCACAGGUGCCAAGAGAGGAGGAACUGCCACUUCCUAGGCUGUAAAAAUGCCUUGAGCUGCUGCUGCUGUUUCCACACACUAACAGUCAUCAGAUGUUGGCUAUCCUUUACCAACAGGAGAAAUGAAAGCUUUUAUCUCAACUUCUGUAGAGUAGUAAUAAUAACCUGCUGUAAGCCUGGCUGUCCCGAAUGUCACUGCUGGCUCAGGAAAACAAGAUAA
ensembl:lncRNA